AUAUUACUCCCUCUGUCCCCAAAUUCUUGUCUUUUAUUUGUCUAGGUAUGAAUGUAUCUAGUCACGUUUUGGUAUUUAGAUACAUCCAUUUCUAUACAAACCUAAGACAAGAAAAUUGGCGCAGAGGGAGUAUUAU
rfam:Hordeum vulgare subsp. vulgare, WGS project CAJW01000000 data, contig: morex_contig_49710